UCUGCAGAAAGCAAAGGGGAAGUGUCAUUCACUACACUGUUUAAAGCUAUCACACCUUCUUGAUCAAUAAAAUAACUUCAGUGCCAGGAUCUGGAUUAAUUUAGAAGAUUUAGAUAUCUAGGCCCUACUAUCUUGGCAAAGUAACUGACAGCACAAGCUUCAUCAGCUGCUCUGGAUAACAACAUGGAGAGAGAAAAAUUCCAGUCAUGCCUGAAUUCUCACUUUUAAGUGCAUAGAAACCUACUGCAUUUUGGUCUUAAAAAAGAAUGCCAUGUUGAAAUGGAAAUAAUUCUAAGAUGCAAAAGGAACUUUGUUUUAAUACUGGAACAUGGUAUUUCAAAGAUUAAAAAAAAAAAAAAAAUUAAAACCCACUUUUGAAGUGGAUCAAAUGAGUGGCAUUGAAUGGGUUCCCAAAGCAGAGUUGUGUAUGGGGAGCUCUGUAGCCACUUUGUUUCUUUGACAGGGACUGAACAAUGCAGCUUUGCUAUUUUGACAGUUUUAUUGCAGAGAAUAAUGAAAACAAGAAAGCUGUGGCAGGGUAAGCAUUAGAAACUUCAGUUUCCUAAGUGAUUUCCAGAGCACAGCGAGGACUUGCACUUGUUCACACAUCUAACUUCAACUUCAGACCAAGAUUAUGGUGCACAAAUCUAGGAAGUUAAGUGUCAAGAAAGGCAGGUAAGCUUAUUAAAUCUUGCUUUUAGUUAUUUGUUGCUUUCCAUAUAUUUAAGAGAUUCUUAAGAAAUUAAAUGUCUUGGUCAUUCAAGGAAUGUGUGUGCAUGACAGAUUAGAGAAGGCUGUUACUAAGUAUGAGCUUUUCACUAUGCUGAAUAUAUAAUACAUAACCAAGACUAUCCACCUUAGGCUACACUGAUUUUGCUAUUACCAAAAUAAUUGAUAAGCUGUCACAAUCUGGACUUUUUUAAGCUAUUUAACUUGCUACCCAGAUUCGUGGUGAGAAAUCUAGACACAGGGUUAUACAUUGUGCAAUCAACUUGAAGGAAAUUGGGAAAGCCACCCAGCUCUUUUCUCCUUGAUAAAAGGCAUGUUUUUAUUCACAGGUCAGUAAUGAUCUCAUUCAAAUGUUAACUCUUCAAAUACACAGCCUAUUCCCUCAAUGAAAUGGCAGAACCAAGGAAGAAAAGAGCAUGUGCUUUCCUGUGCUCAAGCUGAAGAAUGUGAGAUGCUGUCUGCAGGAUGCUCAGUGGGAGCCAGAAGGAUGUGAAUCAGUAGCAGACACUUGAGAAAGUGCAUUGGAAAACAAACACCAGGGAAGACAAUAAGAAGGUAAGUACUUAAACAAUGUUUUGCUAAACAAGGAAGGCAAUCUGGAUACAUGGGGAUUACACCUUUGGCUCCUUCAUGAAGCAUUCAAUCAGUUGCAGCAAUUGUAGCUGCCAAGCCCAUUAAAUUUGCCUGCAGAAGUAGGGCUAAGGGCCUUGCUCUGCUAGACCAUGCUGCUUUAGUUAGGGUACAGGCAGCAGGAAAACCAGGAAGCAAGGAAAGAGGAAAAAGCUUCAGAUUUCUGGUCAAAAGCCAGAUGCUACAGAAGAGCUCUGUUUAGUUUACUGAAUUGUAAAUAUUAGAGCUACAAUUAAAAAAAAGGGCAGAACUGAAAGAUAUUUUUUCAAAUAUACAGUAGGCAAAUACACCCAAUUCCUGUUCAUCUGGUCUGCAGAGAUAAAGAGAGAUUGCAGCAGUGGGGAAAGAGCAACUGCAGAAAGCCCAGGAGAGAAAAUAAGGUUUUAGAUCAAUGAGCAUUUCAGAUGCUUGUCAGAAAAAAGUGCCAUAUUGAUACUGUCCUGGCUGUUGUUUUUCCCUGAAUUUCAAAGCUUCUAUUGCUGUAGUCAUGGUUGCUGGGAUGAGGAGGUAGGGAGUGGGGAAGAGGAAAUCCUACUUGUGAUAGAUGUGUUUUAACUGAUAGGAAAUGGCACAGAUGAGGUUGCAGUGUCACAGCUGAUGCAGUGAAUUUCUGUUUGGAGAUCAGGGUAAGCUUGAGUAGCAAGGGAGUUCUUGCAUUAUGGUUUUUGUCCCUGCACUCAGGGCUCUGCCCACACAGAUUAAAUGUGAGAUUUCAGUGGCUGGGACCACAAUGCAGUCUGCAUAGGAUUGAGAGAAAUCCUGGUGAUAGAAGCAGAGUAGAGUUUUGAAGGCAAACUGACCAUAGAGGGACUGGUAAGGCACACAGGAUGAGAAAAGUUGAUGGGGUAAACAACAAAGGGCACUAGGCCUGGGCUGAGGGCCUGGGGGAAGUAGGCAAUGAAUAGAAAUAUACACAAAAAAGGCAGCAGGAAAAACCACCAGAGAUACGAGUCAAGGUCAAAAACAGCAAAAAUGGGUGAAAAAAAAAAAAAGCAGAGGGAAGAAUUCAGAACUGAGGCUGAGGAGAAGGAGAAGGAGGACAAUGUGAUACUCUGCUGUGAUAGGAUCAGUUAGGGAAGGAGGAAAAAUCUGCAGGGCUCAUUGCUGCCUAGUGGAUUCUACUUACGAGGAAGCAUCUUAAGUGGACCGGAGGAGUUCCCCAGUUCUGCACUUAGAGCUGUGCUGUUAUUUCCCAAGGAAGCAGGCUGUCAGCUGCUGUGUGCACUACUUGUCAUACCCACCGACAGCAUGAAAGGCUCUGCUUUUACUGGGAUGUGAAGCAACAACAAGGUGAACAAGAGCUUCAAGCACAAUGAUUCUCUUUGGCUGCCUUCAGAUGAGUAAUUCCCAAAGGUUAAGUUAGAAAUUGAAAGUUAGUAAGGUCUCACUUUUUAACCCUUUUGCUUUGCCUACAGGGAGGCCAGGCUCACCUCUCUACACAUGCUGUGAUACAUGCAACUCCAGCGUGGCUGCCAAAUACUAUUUUUUCAAAAGUGAUAAGCAAGAACCCAGAAGGCCUAAUGCUUUAUUUGGAUGCUAACAAUAUAAAGGUGGUUUCCUUGCAGCGUUCAGCAACUGGAUUUUGUCAGGGUUCUGUUCCCAGAGAACAAAAUCUGAAAGUGUUCUGUAAGUCAAAAGUGCUAAAUACUAUAAAAUUGAAACAAUACUGCUCUGUGGCAGUCAUUAGUGAGUAAGUGAUGUACCCAUGCAUGUUGGGGGAAGAACACUGAAAUAAUUCUUAAGAGAAAGAAAACUAGGCAAGCAAACAGGGAGAAGACAGAAACAGGGAGAGCACAAAACAGGGAAAGCAAAGAUACGAGAGAAGUGAAGACACAGCAAAGGGGAGGAAAUAGAAAUUAACAGAUUGAACAUACUGCCUGGAAUUGAAUGUUGGUGCCUCAGUCUUUUAACUACUAUUACUACUAAUUAAUUAUGUGCUGUAUUUUCCAGUAGUAUCUCUCAGGACUUCCCAAGCACGGCAAAAUACUCUGUCUUACAAGGAGAAGGAGGGACAAAACCAUGCAGCAAGACAUGCUGGCAGCAAGACCACAGAUGUCCAUCAGCAGUGGGAGUUCCUGUGUUUUCAUUCCCAAGAAAUAUCAACUUUCCAUAAAAAAUAUAGGUAACUCAGAAAACAACAUGGAAGAAGCCACAUCUGUCUGUCUCUGGUUACCUGAUGUAGGUCUUUAGCAAGAGAAUAAGUAAAAUGCAAGGAUGCACUGGAGAGUCUCUGCGUUAGCCAGUGCUGCAGUCUUUGUUUACCUGUGCAGUACAAGAGCUGUACAAUGUUUACAGAACACUCUGUACAUUUUCUAAAAGUAAUGUAAGCACAACGGUUCAUCAGCCCUGCCUUCCUUUCAGUGCUGAUGAUCUGAAAUGAAUCGGUGAGAACUUACACACCACAGCCUUGGUAAAACAGCCCCACUGGUUGCAGCAGUAUUACUCAACCUAGAAGUAAUAACUGCUUUCCCAAGCUCCAGGGUGAGUUGCACAAUAUUCUUGCACCCUCGUUUUCAUACUGAGGAAUGCUAGAUGUCUGUGAAUGAUAUCUGCAGCGUACCCAGCAGAUAUCUGCCUCUAAGAACCACCAAGGUUGGAAAUAAUUUCUUCUCACACACACUUAACUUGUUUACUUCUUUUUCUACUUCUUAUCUCUGCCCUGCAAGAUAUUCCUCAUCAUGCUGUCCCUUUUCUUUUUAUCCCUAGGUGUGACUUCAGGCAGUUUCAGCAGUGCAGUGAGGGCUGCACUAGGCCACUUUGCUUUACAUACAUGUUAGAAUAAUUAUUCUAGGUAUUCAAAACAUCUGACUUACCCAAAGUUGGUUCCAGCUUCAAAAAGUAAAAGGAGAAAUAAAGGGGGGAAAAAAGCCCCCAAUAGUUAAACUUGCUGCCUAAUGGGCUUCUCUCUGUUGUUUUUCUACAAUGACAUAACAUGAAGAAAAAACUAACAGAAGCUUUCUUUGUCCUCCUUCCAGAAAAAACACUGUGCACCCAAAUAAAGGGAUGGGGUGCACUGUAAGUGGGAUUAGAUAUAUCAUGACAGAUAGCUGGGUUGCAUCAGCCUGAUGAAAAAUGAACUAAAACUUCUUUGCCUUGAGAAGGUCUCUGAAAGACAGGUGCCUUUCCUUCCUUGGGGCACUCUGUCAGCAGGAAAAAGGAAGGUCGGAAAGGAGAACUGCUUUCAUCCCAUUUUCUUAUACCCCUGUGCUGAUAAAACUUCUGACUAGUUCCAUUCUUGUGUAGCUUGGAGCUGACUACCCAGUCACAUGGGGCUUUAAAAUCACAUUAAAAACACAAAGGAAAAUCUCCCUGCAGAGCUAAAUCACCCUGGCAGCCCUGCGGUUCCCAGUGCCCAGUGUUUGGAGAUGGACUGACAAAGCUGGGACCAUACCAUGGAAGGGGGUUCCCAAGACACAUAAUCUCCCUCUCAUCCUUUACCAGACAUUUUUUAAGGGCAAAUAAGGCUCUGCCCAGGUCUGAGAGGCAGCAUGUAAAUUUUCCCCAGAAGGAAGGCUUACUAAGAUAGAUGUCUGAAAAAUUAAAGAUAACAUAAUUUAUAUUGAUAAACUAUUUAUGUGUGUUAUGGUUUUAAUUCCUGGGAAACUGCAACACUGAAAUAAAAUUUAUAUCACAGUCUAUGACAAAGAAUACAACUACCACAAAAGAAAAAAAAAAACAAAUCAGGCUUAUCUUUGCUAUCUAAUCUCAAAUAAUAGAGAUACUUCAAACAAGAAAUGGUAUAGAAUAUAAAUAGAAUAUAAAUAUCUAAUAAGUGUAUAAUAUAUGUUUAUAAUAUGUAUUUAGAAUUUUUAAAAAAUUACGGUAUUUAUUGAAGACUGUGAUGCAAGGUGUACAGAUGGAAACAAAAAAUGUCACUCCCCAGGUUGCACUUAUUUUGUGGCAGAGCACAAGCUGUGCAAACAAAUCUAUGAUUUCAUAUGAUUAUUCACAGGAACUGAAAUGCAUACUGAAGCAAAAUCUUUGCUGGGAGAAUUUGCCAUUUACUGCUCAAUCUAUUCUCACUGACACUUAUGUUACAGGUAGAGGCAGCCAUGGGCUGGGAUAUGGUCACAUAUAUGUUUUAUAUCUCCUAUGUUACUGCCCAUAUAUUUCAGCUAACUUGAGCAACGCAUUUAUGGUUAUUUUACCUGAAGGCUGGCACAAAUGGAAGAAAUCAUCUUACAAAAUAGCACAGAGGAUAGAAAAGUGAGAUCAAGUCCUUUCAAAUUCGCCAAAAUAAAGUCAACAUAAUUACC